GGGGUCCCUCCCAGGCCAGGGCAACCAUUCUGGGAGACAGCAAGUUUGCCUUGUUGUACCAUUGCCUGCCUGGGAUUUAAAGAAGGUCUGUGGGAUGAGCCACCCCACCUAGCUACGUGAUGACUGAACAUGUAGCAAAUAAGCCUGUGAGCACCUCCACCCCACCCCACCCCGGAGCACCCCCGUCAGCAGGCAGAGCUUGGCCUAUACUCACUAGGCAUCAUUUCUGCCCGCUGUGGCCAAGUCGCUCUCCAGGCAGCGCCAUUGCAGGAACUGUCCCCGUCCCACUGCACUGGCUGGCCCAGUGCCACAUACUGCAGGGAGGAGACACAAGCAUGCGGCCCUGGGGAGCGCUGGUCUCUGCACAAACACGGCUCUUGCAGCUUUCACCCUGAGCUCGCCCUGCGCCAGGGCAGCCAGUCAUCUUGACAAGAGCAAGGACCGAGUUAUAGGUCAAGGUUAUCUGAUGACAUUUCUGCAAAAGAGGCACUCGCCCAUCUCAGGCUCGCCCCUCCUCUGCUGGGCAACACUUGCCUACAGUUGGCGGAGCCAGCAUGGACAGCAUCUCUCUUCUUCUGCUGAGGAACAAACAAGGGUUCAACCCUCAACACACAAAGACCACCAGCACUGCUUGCCCUUUCAUUUUAUAGCAAGCUCAUGUCUAAAGAAACCCGUAGGCUCGUGGGCAGGGGACCAAAUGGCAAGUGCAGAUAGUGUCAUUACAGAGGACUGGUGAGCUCUGCAGAUGGCAUCUGGGGCAUCACAGGUGACAGGCAGGCUGUUGUGGGGCCCUGCGUGUUUGUGCAUUAUUGCAAAGACCGGGAAUCAGCAGCUAAAGUGCAUCUACCUGGUUAGGGGGCAGCCUGCCCUGGACAGCUGAGAGCUGGGAAAGCCAUCUCGAAGAUUGCCACAUCACAGGAGAAAAGCCCCAUCCAUUCCGCUCUUUCUUUUUAACAAGUUCAGGGGUACAUGUGCAGGAUGUGCAGGUUUGUUACAUAGGUAAAUGUGGUCAUGGGGGUUUGUUGUACAGAUGAUUUCAUCACCAGGCAUUAAGCCUAGUACGUGUCAGUUAUGAUUUCUGAGCCUCUCCCUCCUCCCACCCUCCACCUUCUGCCAGGCCCCAGUGCCUGUUUUUCCCCUCCAGUGUAUGUGUCCAUGUGUUCUCACCAUUUAGCCCUCACUUAUAAGUGAGAAAAUGUGGUAUUUGGUUUUCUGUCCCUGUUUUAGUUUGCUAAGGAUAAUGGCCUCCAGCUCCACCCAUGUCCCUGCAAGGGAAAUGGUCUCAUUCUUUUUUUUGGCUACAUGGUAUUCCACAUGGUAUAUACGUACCACAUUUUAGAAAUGCAAAUCAAAACCACAAUGAGAUACCAUCUCACACUGGUCAGAAUGGCUAUUAUUAAAAAGUCAAAAAAAAACAGAUGCUGGUGAGACUAUGGAGAAAAAGGAAUGCUUAUACACUGCUGAUGGGAUUGUAAAAAAAGUUCAGCCACUGUGGAAGACAGUGUGAUGAUUCCUCAAAGACCUAAAGGCAGAAAUACCAUUUGACCCAGCAAUCCCAUUACUGUGUGUAUACCAAAAGGAAUAUAAAUCUUUCUAUGACAAAGACACAUGCAUAUGUUUGUUGCAACAGUAUUCACAAAGCAAAGCCAUGGAAUCAAUUUUUCUUAAUAAAUGAAUCCAGGAACAAAAGAGAAGGCUCCAUGAAACCCAUUAGGUGCACAGCAAGAGGGUGAGGAGGUUAAGAGGGAAUGAGCAUAUCUCCUAAUGACAGAGUCUCUCCUUGACCCAACGUUAGUCAGGCUCUUCUGAAUCCUCUUCCUAUCUGCCAUGACUUUUAGGCUUUCUUUUUCCUUUUUUUUUUUUUUGAGACAGGGUCUCACUCUGUUGCCCAGGCUGGAGUGCACUGGCGUAAUCUCUGCUCACAGUAAACUCCACUACCCAGGUUCAAGCUAUUCUUGUGCCUCAGCCUCCUGAGUAGCUGGGAUUACAGGCGUGUGCCACCACGCCCAGCUAAUUUUUGUAUUUUUAUUAGAGAUGGGGUUUCACCAUGUUGGCCAGGCUGGUCUCGAACUCCUGACCUCAGGUGAUCUGCCCACCUCGGCCUCCCAAAGUGCUGGGAUUACAGAUGUGAGCCACCACGCCUGGCCCACUUUUAGACUUUCUUAUCCAUCUUUGCAUCCCUCAAUUUUAGCAAGAUCUGGCUAAGUUGGUUUACCUUCAAUAUCUGAUCACCCUUGAUAUAAGAUUGGUUUCUUCAUUCCCUGCCAUCUUCCAGGUGACAUCUGAUCACCUCGGCCUGCCUACAGCAAGAAUCCUAUUGGCAAAUAAUUACUUUGCCUUCUGAGUAAUUUUCUAUCCAACAACCCCCAACCACUCUGUCUCAUCCUGCUCUUGGACUACAAAUCCCCAAUUUUUCCUUAUUGUAUUUGGAGUUGAGUCCAAUCUCCUUCCCCUGCUGCAAAACCCCAUUGCAGUAAUCCCCUCCAAAUAAAGCCUGCCUUACUGUUCUUUAACAAGUGCCAGGAAUAAUUUUUAAGCACUAACCCAAAUUUCUUUCCUGUACUCCUUACAACAAGAUGUAAGGAGCACACUCGGCUUGUCCUCAGGUUGCAUUUAUUAAACAAAAGCUAAAAUCCCCCUUUCAAAUAUGAGAACAUAAAGCAUAUAAGAGAGAAGUGUUUCCUGGGUGAUCCAAAUUAAAAAUAAGAGCCAUGGGCCAGGUGUGGUGGCUCACUCCUGUAAUCCCAGCACUUUGGGAGGCCAAGGCAGGCACACUUAAGUUCAGGAGUUCAAGACCAUAGUGAAACCUCGUCUUUACUAAAAAUACAAAAUUUAGCUAGGCACCUGUAAUCCCAGCUACUUGGGAGGCUGAGGCAGGAGGAUCACUUGAAUCUGGGAGGCAAAGGUUGCAGUGAGUGGAGAUGGCACCACUGCACUCCAGCCUGGGCAACAGAAUGAGACUCUAAAAAAAAAAAAAAAAUAGCCAUGGGCAAGAGAGACAUGUCCUUGCUGAUUUCUCCCCUUGAAUCUGGCCCACUGAGGACACCUCUUCCUUCUCUUUUUUUUCUUUUUCUUUUUUUGAGACAGAGUCUCGCUCUGUCACCCAGGCUGGAGUGCAAUGGCACGAUCUCAGCUCACUGCAACCACCACUUCCAGGGUUCACACGAUUCUCCUGCCUCAGCCUCACAAGUAGGUGGGAUUACAGGUGCCUGCCACCAUGCCUGGCUAAUUGAGAUGGGUUUUCACUAUGUUGGCCAGACUGGUCUCAAACUCCUGACCUCGUGAUCUGCCCUCCUCGGCCUCCCAAAGUGCUGGGAUUACAGGCGUGAGCCACUGCACCCCGCCUCUUCCUUCUCUUUAUUCUGCCUGAGGAUGCACGUUCUCUUUUGACAGUUUCAGCGGAUUGAGGCUGAAUGUUAAGUUUUCUGCCAAAAUGGGUUCAGUAUCUUGUCAGCUAUUUCCUCUGCUGAAACGAACUUUCAUCUUUAAUCUACUCAGGAGUGCUAUGUAUGACAGGCGAUCCUUGGAGGAGAGAAGUCUGAGGGACAGCCUGCUACUGUAUUUAAAUUGGCUUCACCCAGACAGAUAAAUACAAAGAUAAGGUUAAUAAGGGUUAAUAAUUUAUAGUCAGAAAAGUUUAAGAGGAUUGCAUAAUUUAAGCCUCCCGUGAAGGCCCCAAACCAAACUCUAUAUUAUUAUCCUGAAGCCGGGUCUACUCCGUGACUCUCCUUCUGAAUAACAGCCCCUCAUGAGUCUCCCAGAUACCUGACCUCAAAACCACAGAGCCACUGAAGCCACCUUCUGUCUCCUUCUCCAUCUUCUCUGAGAGACAGCUGGUUAAUCAGGUCAAAUUAUUCUUAUCUGAUUAUUAGUCAUUAGCAGUUAUAGUUAU
rnacentral:lncRNA from 10 species